rnacentral:tRNA from 2 species
GCAGGGGUAGCCGAGCCUGGUCUAAGGCGCAAGGCUUAGGACCUUGUCCAGAAGUGGUUCGCCGGUUCGAAUCCGGCCCCCUGCA